rnacentral:rRNA from 1 species
UGGGGAAUAUUGCACAAUGGGGGAAACCCUGAUGCAGCGACGCCGCGUGAAGGAAGAAGUAUUUCGGUAUGUAAACUUCUAUCAGCAUGGAAGAAAAUGACGGUACCUGACUAAGAAGCCCCGGCUAACUACGUGCC